UACGGAGGGGCUAGCGUUGUUCGGAAUUACUGGGCGUAAAGCGCGUGUAGGCGGCCCUGCAAGUCGGGUGUGAAAUCCCAUGGCUCAACCAUGGAAGUGCACUCGAAACUGCAGGGCUAGAGUCCUGGAGAGGAAGGUGGAAUGCUUGGUGUAGAGGUGAAAUUCGUAGAUAUCAAGCGGAACACCGGUGGCGAAGGCGGCCUUCUGGACAGUGACUGACGCUGAGACGCGAAAGCGUGGGGAGCAAACAGG
rnacentral:rRNA from 1 species